rnacentral:misc_RNA from 1 species
UUAUCUUUUGUUUGAUUCAGACACAAAUAACUGAUUGUAGCAUAAAGGCGGCGCCGGAGCGCCGAAGCACACUCUACCUCCACGGUUUUGAAGGGUCGAAGGCCACAGGUGGCCAUUCAUUAAUGAUCCCUCCGCAGGUUCACCUACGGAGA